rnacentral:rRNA from 1 species
AGUGAACGCUGGCGGCAGGCCUAACACAUGCAAGUCGAGCGGCAGCGGGCCCUUCGGGAUGCCGGCGAGCGGCGGACGGGUGAGGAAUACAUCGGAAUCUGCCCUGUCGUGGGGGAUAACCUAGGGAAACUUAGGCUAAUACCGCAUACGACCUACGGGUGAAAGCGGGGGAUCGCAAGACCUCGCGCGACAGGAUGAGCCGAUGUCCGAUUAGCUAGUUGGCGGGGUAAAGGCCCACCAAGGCGACGAUCGGUAGCUGGUCUGAGAGGAUGAUCAGCCACACUGGGACUGAGACACGGCCCAGACUCCUACGGGAGGCAGCAGUGGGGAAUAUUGGACAAUGGGCGAAAGCCUGAUCCAGCCAUGCCGCGUGGGUGAAGAAGGCCUUCGGGUUGUAAAGCCCUUUUGUCCGGGAAGAAAUCGUCUGGGCUAAUACCCCGGGCGGAUGACGGUACCGGAAGAAUAAGCACCGGCUAACUUCGUG